rnacentral:piRNA from 1 species
UUGCUUUCAACUUUAGAAGGAACAGGGCUU